CUAGUUGGGAUGGAGCUACUAAGCCUGGU
rnacentral:sRNA from 1 species